AUGGGCACAAUUUUGGAUGCCCUCACGUUCAAACUCUUGACAAAGCUGGGUCAGGUUAUCGAGAAUGAGGUUGUGAUGACAUUAAGUGUGAAGAAGGAUAUCAGGAGGCUAAAGAAUAAUCUGGAACAUUUUAGCGCCAUUCGGGAGGAUGCUGAAGCUCUGGCCAUGGAAGAUAAACGGAUAGAGGCAUGGUGGAAGAACAUGAGCAAUGUAAUGUUUGAUGUUGAUGUCAUCAUCGAUCUUGUUAUGGUUCAUUCAGAAAAGCUUUUGCUGACACCUAGAUCAGUAUGUUGCAAUCAGUCCAUGGUCUCUUGUUUUGGAAAGCUUCCAUUUGAUCACAGGGUGGCUAGAAGAAUUAAGGACAUAAAUGAAAAGCUUGAUGAGAUUAAAAUGAACACAGAGAUGUUCAACUUGGACAGAACCACACGUCAACAGUUCCAAGUAACAAUUGUGGAUAGAAAGCAGACAUCUCCUGUAGAUGAACUAGAGGUUGUUGGAACAGAAAUCAAACAGGCAGUUGAGGACAUGGUACAAAUGAUUGUCAGUGGCUGUCGUGAGAAUAGGUCAAGUGUUUUUGGGAUUCAAGGGAUGGGAGGCAUUGGUAAGACAACAUUAGCUCAGAAGAUUUACAAUGAGCCAUUGGUAAGGGAGAAAUUCCAAGUCCGUAUAUGGUUGUGCAUUUCGCAGAGCUACACAGAGACCGGGUUGAUAAAGCAGGCAAUACGAAUGGCAGGAGAAAAGUGUGAUCAAUUAGAGACCAAGACCGAGCUUCUACCACUUCUAGUGGACUCUAUCAAUGGAAAGAGUGUUCUUCUUGUGCUGGAUGAUGUGUGGAAAUCUGAUGUCUGGAUUGAUCUUCUUCUAUCGCCUUUCAGGAGAGCCUUGAAUUUCCAUGUCAUUGUCACCACAAGAAACCUGGAUGUAUUGGCAGAAAUGCAUGCAACAUAUACUCACCAAGUAAACACAAUGAAUUAUCAUGAUGGUUUAGAGCUGCUUCUGAAGAAGUCCCUCCAGCCGCACGAGCAAAUAAGUGAAUUCGAGAAUGUUGGGUAUGAAAUUGUAAAGAAAUGUGACGGUCUUCCUCUAGCCAUCAAGAUUGUUGCAGGUGUGCUAUCUACCAAAAGAACAACUGCGGAAUGGAAGAGUAUCCGAGAUAGCAAAUGGUCCAUUCAUGGACUCCCCAAAGAACUUGGAGGCCCCCUGUAUUUAAGUUACAGCAACUUACCCCCUCAACUUAAGGAGUGCUUUCUCUGGUGUGCGUUGCUGCCUCCUAAUUUUGAAAUCCAUCGUGAUUCUGUAGCUUACUGGUGGGUUGCUGAAGGUUUAGUGAGGAAAGAGCAUGGAUUCUCAAUACAUGAAAUUGCUGAAGAGUAUUACCUUGAGCUAGUUCGGAGGAAUCUUCUUCAACCUGUACCAGAGUAUGUAGACAAGGCUGUGUCUACGAUGCAUGAUCUAUUGAGGUCACUUGGACAAUAUUUGACAAAGGAUCACUCCCUGUGCAUGAAUGUGGACAGAAUCGAUGCUAUGUCGAAUCUCCGCCGCUUAGGUAUCAGUCAUGCUGUAGAAGAAAUACCCAAUCUGGAAGAGCACAAGUGCUUGAGGAGCCUCCUACUUUUUAAUAACAAGAAUUUCAAAUCAAUGCACAGGGAUAUUUUCAGAAAGCUUGAGCAUAUCCGUGUCUUGGUUCUCCGUGGAACAAGCACCAAGGACAUACCAGACUCGGUUGGAAAUUUGGUGCUAUUGAGGUUGCUAGAUCUGAGCUAUACAGAGAUUAACAAACUUCCUGAAUCCAUAGGAAGUCUCAUCAGCCUUGAAUACCUUUCUUUGCUUGGUUGCCAUCAAUUGGAUAGCCUGCCAGCUGGUCUGAUGAGAUUGUCCAAGAUAAGUUUUUUGCACCUAGAGCAGACUUCAAUUGAUCAUGUUCCUAAAGGGAUCGCAAAGUUUCAGCAGCUGUACAACCUAAGAGGAGUCUUUGAGAGCGGGACUGGAUUCAGAUUGGACGAAUUGCGAUGCCUCCCCAAUAUCCAACGUCUCUGGGUUAGUAAGCUAGAGGAAGCGAUGCCAGGGGGCGAACUUGUACUGAAGAACAGUCGUAAUCUUAAAGAACUGGGACUACGCUGCACAAUGAACAGAGAUACUCAUGAUAGAACUUGCUAUGCGCACGACAAGGUUCAGAAAAUUCAGCAAGUCUACGAUAUGCUCAUCCCGUCGCCAAGCCUAGAAUACAUUUUUCUUGUUGGGUUCCCAGGCACUAUGUUCCCAGAAUGGCUACGAUCGAAACCGGAGCUUAACAUGCCUAGUUUGCGUCAGAUGCACCUCGAUGAGUGCAUAUCAUGUUCAGAGCUUCCACCUGCAGGUCAGAUGCCACAACUGCAAUUUCUUAAGAUUAAAGGUGCAGAUGCCAUAGAGUCCAUUGGCGAAGAACUCCUGGGAAAAGGAGUCAGAAUUCCAGCAGCCUUUUUCCCAAAGCUUGAAGUGCUUCAGGUCAUUGGCAUGUUCAGUUUGAGAAGUUGGUCCCUCAAAACUGGGAAUCCCAGCGAUAGCGCUCAUCAUAUCUCUCUGAUGCCUUGCCUUAAGCGUCUGUUGCUUCUUGAUUGCCCAAAACUGAGAGCUCUCCCUCAAGACAUGUCCAAGAUUGUUAACUUGAAGAGAAUCCACAUUGAAGGUGCUCACAAGCUGAAAGAAGUCGUCGACCUUCCCGCAGCCGUGUGGCUCAAAGUGAGGAACAACACAUGUUUGAAGACAAUCUCCAAUCUCUGUAAGCUCCAGGACUUGCUUGCGCAGGACUGCCCAGCACUGGAUCAGGCAAAGAACCUAUGCUCAUUGAGGCGCUUGUACAUGGUCGACUGCCCACACGAGCAAGAGUUCAGGAAGUGCCUCUCGGAAGAACAAGGCGUCCUAGUCCAUGUUGCUACGGUUGGCGCAGAUGGCCGGAAUAUCUUCCCGGAUGAAUCUCUCUACAAUUAG
rnacentral:rRNA from 1 species